CUUUCCUUCUUUCUUUUUCUUUCUUUCUUUCUUUCUUUCUUUC
rnacentral:ribozyme from 14 species